UUGUUGUGCUCACAUUAAAUUAUUGUCAAAGAAAUGCUCAGAUAGUUUGCAAACCUACCCAGAUAGUUUUUUACAUAUAUUUUUUAUCUACCUACCAAAUUUCAUUGAAAAAUAUUAUUGAGCAGAUAGUCUAUAAAAGUGAGCAGUUUUGGUACCUCAUUUCUGUUUUUCUGAUUUCCGUAAGUGGGUGGUAAGAGGGGUACAAACAAGUUGAAUUUUAUUUGUGUGACUUGUUUAUAGUUUCUAAAAUUUUAUUGGUUUCAUUGAAAUUGAAAACAUAAGCGUUGAUUACUAUAAUUCUAGCUAUAGGUUGUGGGUAACCAUUACCACCCUAUUUAACAAACUUCUCAACUUAACCAAAAUUUACGAAUAGCAGCGGAAAGACUUUUUUUUCAAAAGUAGGCUCAGUUGUGGUCUUUAUCUUUAGCUUGUAGGUUAUACUUGGUGCAAAAAGCCUAAUUCAGGUUGGGCACACGCCCCUCCCACAAGUCAAUAAGCACACCACCAAUAAAUGAAUUUCUUGAAGCAAAAAAAAUUUUUAUGUUUUUUAUACUGUAUACUAGUUUCACUUAUUUUAUUAAAUGUAGAAAUAUUU
rnacentral:lncRNA from 1 species